rnacentral:pre_miRNA from 2 species
GGGCUCCCCGGUCACCGGCUCACAGCUAGUACGGACGAUUAUUGGCUCUGUAACUUGUCGUGGGACGGGCAUCGAUGUGCUC